UACAGAGGUCCCAAGCGUUGUUCGGAUUCAUUGGGCGUAAAGGGUGCGUAGGCGGUGAUGUAAGUUGGAUGUGAAAUCCCGGGGCUCAACCCUGGAACUGCAUUCAAUACUGCGUUGCUAGAGUACUGGAGAGGAGAUUGGAAUUCACGGUGUAGCAGUGAAAUGCGUAGAUAUCGUGAGGAAGACCAGUGGCGAAGGCGAAUCUCUGGACAGUAACUGACGCUGAGGCACGAAGGCCAGGGGAGCAAACGGG
rnacentral:rRNA from 1 species